GCAUUCCCCAGAAGAAAGUUUAGCUAAGGUAUCUACAGUGCAUGUGUCAUCCCUGGAAUGCUCUCUGCUGCAUCUCGGAUCCUGGAGAACCCGGUCUUCCACAUGCUUCUGUCUGGGAGGGCUAGAGCUCUUUGAGGACUGCUCAAAGUGCUUUGCUGAGUACUGACACAAAUCUCUCAAAAAAAAUUCUUGUGCUUGGUAUAGUCGAGGAACAUGAGGACAUGCAUGCUUCCAUCACCUGGGAACAUUGCCAACUUCUAGAUGUGUAAAAAAAAGGCAGCUGUCUACAACCUGGGAUGAAGACUUUCCCCCAGAUAAUUCCUGGCCAGGUUGCUGACUUUGGACUUUUAACCUCAAGAAUGAACAUCCCAUACCUACAGCUCCAAUGAGGCACAUGAGGAAGAGGAGGCCGAUGCAGAAGAAGAUAUCUGUGUUGAUGCGCCGCUCGAUUUUGCUGCGUUUGUAUCGGGGGCCACUAUUGUUCAGCAUGGCUUUUGUUUCAUGGCCUUUGAGGAAAAA
rnacentral:lncRNA from 1 species